UUUAGUGAUAUAAUAUUAUUAUUCGGGUACGCCAGGUAUUUUACUUUGCAAAAAUACUCUCCACCACCACACACCCCCACCCCCACUUUCAUCCACCGCCUCAACAAAAUCCCCAUCUUCCGGCUAACGGAAUCUCCCCAAACACACACGCACAACAGCCGGUUCAACCACCGUACUUUCCACCGUCGCCGGCCCUCUUCCAACCACCAUCGCUCAUCUAGGGUUUCCGAUUCGAAUCGACUCGUUAGGUUUCCGAUCACUCAUUCGACAACCGUCGCGUGUGUUUCCUUUCCGUAUCCUUUUCUUAGGGUUUUGAUACCGAAGACGAUGCCCUAUGGCUCCUACGCGGAAACGUGGCGGAGCAAAAGGAGUCAAGGCGAAUAAUAAGUUAAAUUUGGGCGAUCUUGUUCUUGCCAAGGUCAAGGGUUUUCCUGCAUGGCCUGCCAAGAUCAGCAGACCUGAAGAUUGGCAACGAACUCCUGAUCCUAGGAAGUAUUUUGUACAUUUCUUUGGUACAGAAGAAAUUGCUUUUGUAGCUCCAGUUGAUAUUCAGCCGUUUACUAGGGAAACAAAAGACAAAUUGCUGAAUAGAUGUAAAGGGAAGACAGUUAAAUACUUUUCUCAAGCUGUGAAGGAGAUUUGUGACAUAUUUGAAGAGCUGGAGAAUAAGAGUUCAGAUUCUUCAAAAGAUGGUAAAGAUGGACAAACGUCUCAGCCGGAUGCUAAUAUGAUAGAGACAGUGGAUGAUGGGAUGACUACGGAUGGACCCAGCGGUGAAACAUCUCCUAAUGAUAUUCUAAGUCACGGUCUUGGAUUAGAACGGUGCUCUCAUACACACAGGGAAAUGGAAUAUGAGGAUCUAGUCCCUAACAUCUCACCUCUUGUUAAUGAUCGUCCUUCAACAUGUUCCACCAAAAAACAAGCUGAACUUUGCAAUGAUGAUAUAACAUUACCUAAUGUGGAGAGUAUAUCUACUUCUGGCGCGGGUCAAGGUACAACUUCCAAGACCGAGACGAAGGUAGAGACAAAUGGGCAGAAUUCCAAGAAGAUUGCAAAAGCUUCAAAGAACAACCAUGAUGGUGUUGAUGGAAUAAACCAAAUUAAUAGCCCAGAAGGUGUAAGUUCUGCAUUUCCGACCAGUCAUACUACUCAUACUAAAUUCAGUGCAACUGAGAACAUGAAGGAUGGGACACGAAGUAAUACCUCACAUGUGAGCAAGAAUGGAGCUAUUGUGGGUGUGUCAAACCAAGAAUCUGGGGACAAUAUUAAGAAAACAAAGAAACUUGUGAUAGAUAAAACUUAUAAUAAUGGAGUAUUGCAUCCUACAAAAAAGUCUAAGUUCUCCGAUGACACCCCCAAGAAGUCCCAAACAUACAUGAAAAAUGAAGAAGUCAGAAAGUCAACGCCGAGUUUGAAAACAAAAAACCGCUUGUCAUCCAAGGGGCUUGCAAAUGGUUCUGGUUCUGGAGUUGUUGGUGAUGGAGAUGUUGUCCCACCUACAAAACGCCGUCGUGUGGUACUCGAGGACGUGUCUAGCCCAACUUCAAUGUCUGAAAAUAGAACAACUGAAAGCUCUAUUACACCUAAAAAGGGGGAAAACACUAGUCGUGCGCCUGUGAAGAGGAGAGCUGUUCGUAUUUGUGAUGAUGAUGAAGAUGAGCCCAAGACUCCCGUGCAUGGAAGGUCAUCUGAAGCAGUUGACAAAGUAUUACACACUUCAACCUCUAAUGAAGAGGUUGCUGUUGUGACUGAAGCUAUUCAUGAUUCCCCUAGUUUGAGAAAAACCGUGCAUGUGAAAGAAUCUGUGGUCAAUUCUCAGCAGGAUAAUACAGAAGUAACUGAAGAGAAGUUGUGUCAUACUCCUGCGAAAGCAGAACCUGACAAUAAAUUCUCUGACGAGAGUUUAAAGAAGUUUGUCUCCCCCGUCAAGUCUCCGUUUGAUGCUUCCAAAGUGAAUAAAUCUUUAGGCAAAGUUUCUGGUAAUGUAUUACAAAAGAAGGGUCAAUCAGGGUCGUCUAAGGCUUCAAUUGGGGUUUAUGACUCUGGGCAUCAUUUGAAAAAUAAUGCAGUUAACGAGAGAAGUAGGGCUGUUAUUACUGGGGAGAAGCAGAAAGUUGCUUCAAAGACGACUCCAAAAUCAAGUUCACGGGCUACUGAUUCUGCACAUGUAUUGAGGAAACCGAGUGACAGCAACUUGUUUUCUAGUGAAAGGUCAGAAUUUCGAGUGGAGCGGACAACCUCAUUGGCUGAUUCUGGAAAUGCUGAUUCGAAUAAGUCAAUGAGGCAGCUGAUUGCAGUUGCUCAGGCAAAAAGAAAACAAGCUCAAUCAUACAAUGUUGUCCAUGAAAGUCUUAACUUGUUACACACUGAAAUAACUGGAAGGAGUCCUGGCCCUGUUGCUACUGUAAGGCCAACUUCAGUGGGUACUGGAGUUACAGCUCAAACAGAUGAUCAGCCUGAUCCUGCAGAAUUUGAGGAGAGAAGGACCAGUUCAGGACACCGCCCUGCAGGUGGAUCUCUUAGUGGUGGAACUGAGGCGGCUGUUGCGCGUGAUGCUUUUGAAGGAAUGAUAGAAACUUUAUCAAGAACAAAAGAAAGCAUCGGGCGGGCAACACGACAUGCAAUUGACUGUGCAAAGCAUGGUAUUGCCAGCGAGGUUGUGGAGCUUCUUACCAGGAAGUUGGAAAAUGAAUCUAGCUUGCAUCGAAGAGUGGAUCUUUUCUUUCUGGUGGAUUCCAUUACACAGUGCUCUCAUUCAAAGGAAGGCAUUGCUGGAGCCUCUUAUAUCCCUACUGUUCAGGAAGCAUUGCCUCGUAUUUUAGGAGCUGCUGCUCCACCAGGUGCUAAUGCUCGUGAGAAUCGUCGUCAAUGUCUAAAGGUUCUAAAGUUGUGGCUUGAGAGGAAAAUUUUACCUGAUACUCUACUUCGGAGCCAUAUAGAGAACAUUGGGUCUUCGAAUGAUGAUACUUCUGCUGCUUUAUCCUCCAAGCGUCCAUCUCGUUCUGAACGGGCUGUCGAUGAUCCUAUAAGAGAGAUGGAGGGCAUGCUUGUUGAUGAAUAUGGGAGCAAUGCAACGUUUCAAUUGCCUGGAUUUUUGUCAGCUAAUGUCUUUGAAGAAGAAGAAGAUGAUGAUGAUAUUCUCAACUUUUCACAUAAAGAAGGAAGCGGUAAAUCAAUACUAGAGGUAAACACGGCCACAGGAGAACUUGAAACAUGUUCUGGAACUUCAAUUGAAAGACGCCACUGCAUCUUGGAGGAUGUGGAUGGUGAACUUGAAAUGGAAGAUGUAUGUGGACAUCCAAAGGAUGAAAAAUUCUUGACAGGCGGCGGUUCUUCCUAUAAGGCUGUUCAAGAGGAUGAUGGCUCCAAUAGGUCAAUGGAUACAGCAUUAAAUAAUUCCAAUGAAGCGUCCCCUCUUCGUGAGGGCUCACCGCCACUGCCGCCUGAUUCUCCCCCGCCCACUCCCCCCUUGCCUUCUUCACCACCACCACCUCUGUCACCACCCAUGGCUCCACCACCUCUGUCACCACCCAUGGCUCCACCACCUCCAUCAACUCCGUCACCUCCACCGCCACCUCCACCUCCUCCGUCUCUACCCCCGGCCCCAUCACAAACAUAUCCUCUUAUUGCAGGUCCAUCACAGGUGCCGUUUCCUCAAGCAUCAGUGCAACCUAUGUCAUCCAAUGUAGUACCUUUGAACUCUCGUCUUGGUGCUCAUGUUGAGGCUGCUGUCAGAGGUGAAAUGUUUCCUCAGCAACCAUCGUCUUUUAUGCCAGCUGUACGCGAACCUUCGGGUUUUGGUACUCAGCAGUUCCAAAACGGAAAUGUAUCUUUGCCUGCAAGAACAUUCCAACCUCCAAUGCUUACUCAGAAUCCUGCUAGUCAAUAUCAAUAUCCUAAUCCGGCAAUGCUACAGCAUCCAUACCCGCCUAGGUAUGGAUUAACAAAACCUCCUGAUGGCCCGAGGCGAUAUGGUGCUGAUGAACAAUGGAGGCCACCUUCAAAUGAGUUUGGCGCUGAAAGUCAGCGCGGUGCAUGGACGAGUAAUGGGAGGACUCAGCUAUCCACGGGUCCUCCUUUUGUUCAGGAAGGCUAUUUUCGACCACCUAUGGAGAGACCACCAACCAAUAAUGUUAGUUUUCAACCCGCAGGUAAGAAUAUAGUUCCAGCUGGAGCUCCAAUUCCAGGCCAUAGUGGUUCACUGAUGAUGCCAUCCCAUAAUUCUUGGAGACCAGCUUGAGUGGUGACUUUGGUUGAUAUAUGUCAUAGAGCUUUGGAAGAUUUGGUGAUUUUUUUGUUUUGGGUAUCUGAUACCUGUUGAUGGAGUUGUGAAGAGAGCGUUUGCAGGAUUGUAUAUUGUAGUUUUCUCUUGGCAGAUGCUUCCUAGACAACAGAUUUUGUUUUUAACUUCUGCCUGGCAAUACGUCAAUUGUAAUCCGCGUACAAUAAAUGAGGUUCAAAAUAUUUGUUUGCUAGUAGCAGGAGUUCCGGGAGAUUCUUUGCAGUGCAUGCCUGUUGUCAUUCAUGCGUUCUAGUUUGUUAUAAGUAAUGUUGAUGUGAAGUCAAAAAUAUCAAAGUCAAGUAGACAACCCACUACUACCCACUGCUCAUGUUCUUGAAUAAGCGUAUUGAUGAGGUUAAUGUGAAGAUUGGCAUGUAGAUUAGUGAGGUACAAUCUGGAGUUUGUGAUGUUAGCCAUAGGGGUGAACUUGUGUAGUCAUGGACUGAGCAAAGCCAUUUCUUUACUUCAGAAAGUGCAUCAAAGACAACCAAACACCGGUUGUGCAUUUAACAUUGUAUGGGCAAGAUCUGGAUUCUUAGGCCUUUCACAGUGAAUCCCCGACAACUACUUGCUAGUAGGCCUCCACAUUCAUUGCUAAGUUAUAGGCGUAUUCUGAUCUAACAAGGGAGAUUUGGUGGGCCAGUCAUUGGGACCCGAAUUUAGACGAGUUAUUCUCUGAGAUGAUGAUCGAUGGAGUUCUCGAAGUCAUGAGAUAUGUGGUCUUAACUCUCGUAACCACCGAUAAUUUCCUUAUUAGACCAACUUUCAUUUAAUACGGACUUAAAGCCAUAUGAUAAUGCCAUGUUAAGUCCUCGAAUGUCUAUUCAGGAAAAUCGUGACACAUGACACGUGACAUUUUUCUUUUGCGUAUCGAAACUGUAUGAAAAUAUAACUUUUGGGACUUAUCAAACUUAUUAAUACACAUAUUUAAGGAUAAAUUCAUGAAGUACGUUAACCAAA